rnacentral:tRNA from 1 species
GGCAUGAUGGCGUAAUGGUAUCGCAGAUGAGUGCUAAUCAUUCUGUCCUCUCGGACAUCCAGGUUCGAAUCCUGGUCAUGCCG